rnacentral:rRNA from 1 species
ACGUAGGGUGCAAGCGUUGCUCGGAAUCAUUGGGCGUAAAGAGCGUGUAGGUGGCUAGAUAAGUCAGAUGUGAAAUCCCUCGGCUCAACCGAGGAAGUGCAUUUGAAACUAUUUAGCUCGAGGAUGGCAGAGGAAGGUGGAAUUCCUAGUGUAGAGGUGAAAUUCGUAGAUAUUAGGAGGAAUACCGGUGGCGAAGGCGGCCUUCUGGACCAUUCCUGACACUGAGACGCGAAAGCGUGGGUAGCAAACAGGAUUAGAUACCCUGGUAGUCCACGCUGUAAACGAUGGGUACUAGAUGUUGCGGGAAUUGACCCCCGCAGUGUCGUAGCUAACGCGUUAAGUACCCCGCCUGGGAAGUACGGCCGCAAGGUUA